rnacentral:rRNA from 1 species
AAUCAACGCUGGCGGCGUGCCUAACACAUGCAAGUCGAACGCGAAAGUGGAGCAAUCCAUGAGUAGAGUGGCAAACGGGUGAGUAACACGUGGGUGACCUGCCUUCGAGCGGGGGAUAACGUCCCGAAAGGGACGCUAAUACCGCAUAACAUCCCGCCUUUUAAGAGGUGGUGAUCAAAGCCGGGGAUCGCAAGACCUGGCACUUGAAGAGGGGCCCGCGCCUGAUUAGCUAGNGGUGGGGUAAUGGCCUACCAAGGCAACGAUCAGUAUCCGGCCUGAGAGGGCGGACGGACACACUGGGACUGAGACACGGCCCAGACUCCUACGGGAGGCAGCAGUGGGGAAUUUUGGACAAUGGGCGCAAGCCUGAUCCAGCCA